rnacentral:lncRNA from 1 species
CUUGUGUAAAUGGCACAGAAUUAUUAUGUUUUCUGUGAUUUACAAAGAGCAUAUAUGAAUUUAAUAAUCAGAAAAGAUGGCAUUCUAGAUUUAAUCUCUAAUAAACCUAAUUUCAAUGGUGGGACAUUUAAUGCAAAUUUUCAUCAGAAAGGAAAGGGAUGGAGGAAAGUUUACCAAGCAAAUGGAAAAUAGAAACAAAUGGGUUAUAAUCGUAAUUUCUGACAAAACAGACUUUAAACCAACAAAGACCAAAAAAAGACAAAGAAAGACAUUACAUAAUGGUAAAGCGUUCAAUU